rnacentral:lncRNA from 7 species
GAGCUGGGUUACAGGAGCACAAGCUAUGUCUCUACCUGGCUGUAAGCCUUACUGACCCCCAGGCUGAGCUCUCUGCCUGCCUGUGAGCACAUUUUCCAUGGAUCACCCUGGUAGAACAGACUCCUGGCUGAAGCUGACCACCACCUUUGGGACUCUUUAGCUCAGGUACAGAAGGGCAAGCCCUGACUGUUGAGUUCCUGCCCUUCUGGGAGCAGCUGGGCCCAUCUCCCGCAUGUUUGCUCUGCUAAAGGGAAGGAACCUCCAGCCAUGUCAAGUGGUUUAUUGCUGGGGAAAUCAUCUUUUUCAUCCUCUUGAAGAACCUGGAAAAGGGGUUUUGGCCUCAACCUGAACUGCAGCUUUUCCCCAGAGCCUGGGCAGGUGCAGCUGGCACAGCUGGAUGAAGAGCAGCUGUGCUGAGGGCAUGAAAUAGAGCCUGAAGUCUGCCGUGCCAUUGCUCUAUGGAUGCUCAUGUUAGGAUCAGUGUGUAAUGUCAUUGCCAGACUCCACAAACGACUCCAACCUCUUGGAAUCAAGUGCAAAGCCAGGAGGGGCUGCAUGGCUGAAGAACUUCUCCCUGCCAGCCUUCAUCACACCAGAUCUUCUCUGCUGUCAUGCACUGCUAUUACCUGUUUUCUGCGUACGCUUGCUUGUUUCCUGCAAGCCUUUGAUUUCAUUAUAAUACAGCUAUAAAGCAGAUAAAGAGCAUUUGUUCCAC